UUUGGUCUUAAUUGACAACGGAUCAGGCCUAAACGCUUGCGAACGUAAUAGCUGAGUUGAGUCUUCUAGUCUAGUCAUCUCUUCGCCAAGAAGGAGAACUAAUAACAUAGAUACAAUCUAUAAUAGAUUGCCUACUCCCCUAAACAACUCAAACAAAGGCAAGGACUAGUCCUCCUCAACAUCUCGUAGCACAUAAACAAGACUCCAUAACGGAAGAUCAUUACCUUCUUCCGGGAUCGAGCGAUGGCUAUAAGUAGUAGCGGCGAACACUCAUGCUCUAUGGCCAUUUUCUUAAGAUUAUUUAGAACACAAAUUCUUAAAGUGCUGCAGCUGGUCAGACGAAAGAAAUCCAGGGUACUUAUUCUAAUACUUAAAAAAACAGAACAGGGACUAUUCAAUAAAAAACAAAGGAUUGAGUGCACUCCUAGAGACAUAGAAACCUAAUUUCCAAUUUGAAAAACGCUUAAAGCUGCAGGAAGAUCAAACGAGAAGCCGUCGAUGUGUGAAAAGAAAACAUUUACACUGUCCACUAUUACAAAAGAAUUGACUGCCGAUAAAUAAUAAAAGAUAAUAAGAGUACAACAGAUCUACAAUGACAUGGAAAAAAAGCAACGGAAGAAGAAUAACUAGAUUAACAAGUUGAAUAAUCAUGGCAUCUAGGUUUUUUGCCAAGCCCAAUCUUUCUUUAAAAAAAUCACAAGCUCUACAGAGCUAUUAAAGAAAAUUAUUCCGUAUUCCGUUCCGGUUAUAAUCAUCAAACCAGAUCCAAGGCUAAUCAAUAAGGGAAUCGGAAAGUUUCAGAAGGUUAGUAAAAUACAUAGCAAUCCAACAAUCCGAACCAAGAAUUAAGGGAAAAUGCAAGAAAAUGAUCAAACACAAAAACCACAGUACCGAAGGCAUAAAAAAUGAAAUCAAAUCAACACAAUCGCACAAUAAAUCAAGUUGAUUUACUUGUAUCAACGAAAGAAAAUGGAGAAAACAAGAUUUGGGAGAUUACCUUGUUAGAUGAAAAGAAAACUCGGAAGAGAUUGAAGAAGACGCGAGGCUUCUAGAUGCCGUGUGACAAGGAACUCUGUGAGAGGAGACAGACAAGAUGCUCAAUACACAUACACACACGUAUCAAUUUAUAUAUAUAUAUAUGGCAGCCUUAAGAGAACCGGGAGAAGGAAGACGAGCUCUUUUAGGUUUUAGGGCAAACUCAGCUUCGGAAAUUUUAAAUAAAUUAUUUUUCUGUUUUCACUAACCGUCCUACUCUAACAUAUUUGCCCUCUCCUUCUCAUUAUUUACGAUUUUACCCCUGGUCCAGCC
rnacentral:lncRNA from 1 species